AGGACGAACGCUGGCGGCGUGCUUAACACAUGCAAGUCAAGGGGGCCCAGCAAUGGGCAACCGGCGAACGGGUGCGUAACACGUGAGCAACCUACCGAAAUGUGGGGGAUAGCCGGCCUAACGGCCGAGUAAUACCGCAUACGCUCUCGAUGAGGCAUUUCAUUGAGAGGAAACCUACGGGACAUUUCGGGGGGCUCGCGGCCUAUCAGCUAGUUGGAGAGGUAACGGCUCACCAAGGCAACGACGGGUAGC
rnacentral:rRNA from 1 species